rnacentral:misc_RNA from 1 species
UUGGUUUGUUUUUGGUGGUUGGCUCUCUGCUUGCGCAACAACUACCACCUGGCAUACCUCUUCAAUUACACGCCAAGGUUUUAUUACCUUGAGCGCGUUGUGGGUUUCUGUGUUGUUUACCUGUGUGAUGGUAUUGUUUGGAUCAUCAAAGUCAGUUUCGUCUUUCGUCAUGCUUUUUGACGUAGGAUGAACCUUAAAGUGAUCUGUAUGGUCUACCUUGUUGAUGCAGAUGCGUUGAUGCUGUGGCCCAUUGAGAUUGCUUGGUUUUGUGGAUAUGGAACAUGAUGUGGGCACGAGGAAUCACAUGAUCCUUGUUUUGUCCAUGUUGAGCGUUAUCGUUUCUCUAAGACGACUGUCUAGCCCGAAUUGGCUCGUACCACCGGGUGUGAUAUGUUGUCAAUGAGAGAUGCUAUCGUUCCUACUCCUUAAAAACGACCCUAGCCCGUAUUGGCCUGUACCAGCGGGUGGGUAAUGUCGAAGAGGGAUGCUACCUGGUUGAUCCUGCCAGUAGUCAUAUGCUUGUCUCAA